rnacentral:rRNA from 1 species
UAUUUUCAAAAAAUCUAUUUAAAUUAUUUUAAUUGUAAAAAAACAAUUUUAAAAAAGAAAGACGAUAAGACCCUAUCGAACUUUACUUUAGUUUAACUGGGGCAGUUAAUUAAUUAUUAUUUUAAUAAAAUUAAAUAUUUAAUUUGACCUAAUAUUAUUAAUAAAAUAAUCAAGUUACCGUAGGGAUAACAGCGUAAUAUGAUUUUUAAGAUCUUAUUUAAAAUAAAGAUUGCGACCUCGAUGUUGAUUUAAUAACCUAAUUUACGCAAUAGUUAAUUAAGGAAGUCUGUUCGACUUUAAAAAAAUUACAUGAUUUGAGUUCAGACCGGUGUAAACCAGG